rnacentral:tRNA from 1 species
UUAAUUGAAGCCAAAAUAGAGGCCUCUUAUUGUUAAUAAGAUAACUGAUAUAUUAUUUAUCCAAUUAAA